rnacentral:rRNA from 1 species
AUUGAACGCUGGCGGCAGGCCUAACACAUGCAAGUCGAGCGAGCGGCGGACGGGUGAGUAAUGUAUGGGAAUCUGCCCGAUAGAGGGGGAUAACUACUGGAAACGGUCGCUAAUACCGCAUACUAUCGGAUGAACCCAUAUGGGAUUAGCUAGUAGGUGGGGUAAAGGCUCACCUAGGCGACGAUCUCUAGCUGGUCUGAGAGGAUGAUCAGCCACACUGGAACUGAGACACGGCCCAGACUCCUACGGGAGGCAGCAGUGGGGAAUAUUGCACAAUGGGCGCAAGCCUGAUGCAGCCAUGCCGCGUGUGUGAAGAAGGCCUUCGGGUUGUAAAGUACUUUCAGCGGGGAGGCGUUACCCGCAGAAGAAGCACCGGCUAACUCCGUGCCAGCAGCCGCGGUAAUAC